CAUGAUUUGAUCCAAAAAUUUUCAUAAUGAAACCUGGUGAGUAGGAGACUCAUUGGUGGUAGGAAAAAGCAUGAGUGUAUGUUGACAGAUGUUUUUAUAUAGUAAAUAGCAAUUAGCUAUGUUUAGCAAGUUAUUAGUGCAUUUAUUUCAAUUGGCUAACUUUUUUGGGUUUUUUUCCAGCAUUUUUAAACAAACCAUAUGUUAUAAAUGAUAUAACUGGGUAUAUCUAAUUAAAACAAUCUGUCAUGUACACUCAUGCAAAUAAGACUAAGUACAUAAAUAACAACCUUGUACCCAGGGGAGAAAAGACCCUGGUAGAUGCUGGUCACAUGAUCUGCUAAAAUCUAGCAGAUUUUUAAUUAGCAAUCCAAGAUGAGGUCAAUAAAUAUUUGAUAUUUGGAUGAUUUUUAUAUGUUAAUUUAUAAUUUGCAUUUUGUAUAUGAUUGUCAUAAAGGAAUUCAAGAUAGUUAAUUAGAAAUCUGCUAGAUUUUAGCAGAUCAGGUGACCAGCAUCUACCGGGGUCUUUUCUCCCCAAGAGGAAGGACUCUGGGUACGAGGUCGCAUAAAUAACUGUAAAAAUGUACUUUAGUAAAUGAAUAAUUUAUCCAUACACUUGAU
rnacentral:lncRNA from 1 species